rnacentral:snRNA from 1 species
GUGCUCACUUCCACAGCGCAUAUACUAAAAUUGGAACAAUACAGAGAAGAUUAGCAGGGCCCCUGCGCAAGGAUGACAUAAGAAUUCGUAAAGCGUUACAUACUUUU